rnacentral:rRNA from 1 species
CCAGGUUGAUUCUGCCUGACGUAGAUGCUAGUCUCUAAGAUUAAGCCAUGCAUGUUUAUGUAAUAAGGACGAAUAGCUCAGUAAAACUGCGAUGAUUUAGUCUGUUUGUAUAAGAUAACUACGUGAAAAUGUAGCUAAGAGAGAACAGAAUAAGACGUAGGACUAUCAGUUUGUUGGUAGUGUAAUGGACUACCAAGACUAUAACGGUUAACGGGGAAUUAGGGUUCUAUACCGGAGAGGGAGCCUGAGAGAUUGCUCCCACGUCCAAGGACGGCAGCAGGCGCGAAAAUUGCCCACUGUUUAUAGGAGGCAGUUAUGAGACGUGAAUGAUGAAUGUUUGGUAAAAAGAAACAGGAGAAUUGGAGGGCAAGUUUGGUGCCAGCAGCCGCGGUAAUACCGACUCCAAGAGUGUGUAUGAGAGAUGCUGCAGUUAAAAAGUCCGUAGUCUUAGAAAUAUAAAUAGAGACAUGAUGUCUCCAAUAAAUAUGAUGGAGGAACCAAUGGGGAACAUAGUAUACAAGGGCGAGAGAUGAAAUGUCAAGACCCCUUGUGGACUAAGCGAGGCGAAAGCGAUGUUCUUGUGGGUAUUUGAUGAUCAAGGACGAAGGCUGGAGGAUCGAAAGUGAUUAGAUACCGCAGUAGUUCCAGCAGUAAAAGAUGCCGACAUGUCAAUUGGAAACAGUAGACAGGGAGAAAUCUUAGAGUUCGGGCUCUGGGGAUGGUAUGCUCGCAAGAGUGAAAAUUAAAGAAAUUGACGGAGCUACACCACAAGGAGUGGAUUGUGCGGCUUAAUUUGACUCAACGCGAGGAAACUUACCAGGGCCAAGUGUUGUGUAGAAAUGAGCAACACAGGAGUGGUGCAUGGUCGUUGGAAAUUGAUGGGAUGACUUUGAGCUUAAAUGGUUGAAUGAGUGAGAUCUUUAGACAUGUUUUAUACAAAACAGGAAGGAAGAGGCUAUAACAGAUCAGAGAUGCCCUUAGAUGCCCUGGGCUGCACGCGCAAUACAAUAGCACACAAAUAAAAAGAUAGGAAAGUGUUUUGAUGGAUUAUGUGUUGUAAGACAGAUAUGAAAGAGGAAUUCCUAGUAAGUAUGUAUCAUAAAUGGAUAUUGAAUAAGUCCCUGUAGCUUGUACACACCGUCCGUCAACAUCUCAGAUGUUUUUUAGGAUGAAGAGUUUAGGCUCUGAAUAAUGAAAAGUAGAUAAGAUGUAAGUCGUAGCAAGGUUGCGGUCGGUGAACCAGCCGCAGGA